rnacentral:tRNA from 1 species
AGGGAAAUAGCUCAGUGGUAGAGUGCAUGCUUAGCAUGCACGAGGUCCUGGGUUCAAUCCCCAGUACCUCCA